rnacentral:rRNA from 1 species
GACGAACGCUGGCGGCGUGCUUAACACAUGCAAGUCGAGCGGACAGACGAUGCUCUUGCUUCUUGCUCGUUAGCGGCGCACGUGUGUAUAACACGUGUAACACCUACCUAUAUGUCGGGGAACACUUCGGAAAUCGGGCGCUAAUCCCGUAGAAUAUCCUGCACCGCAUGGGUGAAUAGUGAAAGACGGUCUUGCUGUAUCGUCUAGCUGGUUCUCGGCUGCAUUAGCUAGUUGUUGGGGUAACGGCUUACCAAGGCGACGAUGCGUAGCCGACCGGAGAGAGGGAUCGGCCACACUGGAACUGAGCCAGGGACAAUACUCCUACGGGACGCAGCAGUAGGGAACCUUCGGCAAUAGGCGGAAGCCUGACGGAGUGACGCCGAGUGUGUGAUGGAGGUGUUCCGAUCGUAAAGCUCUGUUAUGAGGGAAGAACAGAUGUGUACGUAAAUGUGCAGUGAUUGACGGUACCUAGUCAAGAAGCAACGGCUAACUACGUG